AUUGAACGCUGGCGGCAGGCCUAACACAUGCAAGUCGAACGGCAGCACAGAAGGGCUUGCUCUUUGGGUGGCGAGUGGCGGACGGGUGAGUAAUGUCUGGGAAACUGCCCGAUGGAGGGGGAUAACUACUGGAAACGGUAGCUAAUACCGCAUAACGUCGCGAGACCAAAGUGGGGGACCUUCGGGUCUCACACCAUCGGAUGUGCCCAGAUGGGAUUAGCUAGUAGGGGGGGUAAUGGCUCACCGAGGCGACGAUCCCUAGCUGGUCUGAGGAUGACCAGCCACACUGGAACUGAGACACGGUCCAGACUCCUACGGGAGGCAGCAGUGGGGAAUAUUGCACAAUGGGCGCAAGCCUGAUGCAGCCAUGCCGCGUGUAUGAAGAAGGCCUUCGGGUUGUGAAGUACUUUCAGCGGGGAGGAAGGCGGUGAGGUUAAUAACCUUGCCGACUGACGUUACCCGCAGAAGAAGCACCGGCUAACUCCGUGCCAGCCGCCGCGGUAA
rnacentral:rRNA from 1 species